ACAUAUUUUAGAGCCUAAUUCAUUUUAAUUAAUAAUUAAAAUUACAUUCAAAUCCAAAUUUAAAAUUUUAAUGCUAAAAUCCAUCCUAAAAUAAAUUUAUUGUAAUCCAUCUCUACUUAAAUAAGCUGCACCUUGAUCUGAUUUAUAAUAUAGUAAAAUAUUGAAAUUAUAUAUUUCCAAAAAUAAUUUACAACGACGAUAUACAAGCAAAAUUCAAGUUCUAUUAAUCGUGGAUUAUCAAUUACAGGACAGAUUCCCCUGAUUGGAAUAAAAAACCGCCAAAUUUUUUGAUUUUUAAGAACAUAACUAAUAUUUAUCAAGUCUUCAUAUUUCUACAUCUAGAAUAAUGGGGUAUCUAAUCCCAGUUUAUAAACCAGAUUUCUUAACCUCACAAUCAAAAUCUUAAUUUAUUAAAAAAUAGGAUUUCACCCAAUAUUCACUAAAAUAAAAAUUUAUUAUUAUUAAUUAAGUAUUAGAACUGAAAAAAAAAUAGAAGUUUUAUUUGUUUAACCGCA
rnacentral:rRNA from 1 species